GAAACUUAGAUCGUCGGUGGUAGAGCGUUCGCUUUGCAUGUGAAAGGCCCUGGGUUCGAUCCCCAGCACCUCCA